rnacentral:rRNA from 1 species
UACGGGGGGGGCAAGCGUUGUUCGGAAUUACUGGGCGUAAAGGGCUCGUAGGUGGCCAACUAAGUCAGACGUGAAAUCCCUCGGCUUAACCUGGGAACUGCGUCUGAUACUGGAUGGCUUGAAUUCGGGAGAGGGAUGCAGAAUUCCAGGUGUAGCGGUGAAAUGCGUAGAUAUCUGGAGGAAUACCGGUGGCGAAGGCGGCAUCCUGGACCGAUAUUGACACUGAUGAGCGAAAGCCAGGGGAGCAAACGGG